rnacentral:lncRNA from 1 species
AGGGAUGUUAUUUUGGGCAGUGCAUCUGGACUUGGUUCAAGUGGCACCAGCCAAAUCCCUGCCUUACUGACCUCUCCCCUGGAGGAGCAGGAGCAGCGCUCAAGGCCGCCUUGGGAGGGCUGAGAGGCAGGCUCUGGACUGGGGACACAGGGAUAGCUGAGCCCCAGCUGGGGGUGGAAGCUGAGCCAGAGACAGUCACAGAGGAACAAGAUCAAGAUGCGCUUUAACUGAGAAGCCCCCAAGGCAGAGGCUGAGAAUCAGAAGACAUUUCAGCAGACAUCUACAAAUCUGAAGGACAAAACAUGGUUCAAGCAUCUGGGCACAGGCGUAGAAAUGGGGUUUCGCCAUGUUCGCCAG